rnacentral:ncRNA from 1 species
GAAAUCCCACCGAAGAGCAUCCGUAUGGAUGCCUUCUCGAAAGAGAUAGGUGGGGUUUCCUUU